ACGCAGAGCAGGAGGGCACGCGCCGCUCUGCAUGGCGGGGAACAGAAGGGCUCGGCCGAGCACAGUCUCACUUGGCUGCUCUCCGCCGGCCCAUGGCCGCACUUCAAGCCGGCCCACGAAGGCAAGGCCGGCCUGGGCUCUGCUGUCAGCAGACGCACACUCGGAGGGCCUCCUGUCUUUCUCCUAAUCUAACAAAGCGUAUUAACAAGGUCCGUGCCUCUACUCACAGAGUCCAGGUGGAGAUUGUCAUGUGAUACGAAGGGGAUGGAAGUUCUGUCGUCACGUCUUUGAGGAAGCGUCCUCACCUAAGUGUCAUGUUGGGAGAUGCGUGACCACAAGCCGAAAGCCACACGCUCCCGUUCUCCACGGGGCUGUGUGUUUGGAAACGUUUGCCUGCAGCCCGGCGUUACAGGCGCGGAGCCACGUGCGUACGGGGUUUGGGGACACCUCCCUCUCUCCUGUCUUCCAAAGCAUUACUUUUUUAGAAUGCGUUCUGAGAGUCUUCAAAAUUAGGCCGAACUGUUUUCUUGAGCCUCCAAAUUCUUCCCGAAGUUCCUCGGGGACCAUUGUUUGUCUCUUUGUAGAAGCAGAAC